UGAGAUCUAGUAGCAUUUCAUUUUAGCGAUCUUUCUAUUUUUACUGUGAGUUUGGAUUUUUCUUUUUUUAUUUCCUGGGAUUUGCAUUUUGGAUGCAAAUCAUAUGCCAAUACAAUACGUUGAGAGACUUGAAAGAUAGUUGUUGCCUGAAUUUAAGCAGCACGCCAUUUGUAGGUGGUUGUUGAACAUCUUCUGUUGGAAUUGAAAAUUAAGGCGAUGUAGGUUUGUCUAUUAUGAGCUGAAUUGCUUUCUAUGUAUGCCUAUCUUUAUGGCAACAGCUUGGAAACUGAAAUUUCAGGUUGAUCCUUUCCCAUUUCUGGUUAGGAACUAAAGCUCAGUGACAUUAAUUCCUAGGUUAUGCAUACCAGCAAUAAAACUCAGAUGCACCAAAUUUAUUGUAUGCAUCAAUUAGUCUUGUUACUUUAGUUCCCUGUAGUUCUUAAGCUGGUAGCAAUUUGAGUAAAUCACACAAAGAGCAGACGUGGAGUUUCUAGUAUGGUUGUCACAAAAGAAGGUGAAAAUCUUGCCUUUGGGGUUACCUUUUUUCAACUUACGUUAGCCACUAUUGAUGCUAUAGAAACCUUUAGAACCUAUGCUGCAGGUUUGUUAAAUUGUUAUAAAACUUAAUUAUUUAUAGGGUUUGAUGACUUUGGGUUUUAUUUAUUUUUAGCAUUUAUUGUUUGUUGUUCUUUUUCCUUCCUGAUGUUUUGUGUAUUUUUCCGUUGUCACAUAAUUUUGUCGUGCUGCUGUAUAUGUAUUAUUUGUUAUGUGUACUUUCCGUCUGUUACAUCUUCACAGCAUACAGUAAAUUACACACACAUGUAGAGAUACACUGACCAAACCAUGUAGAAGAUUCAUGUUUCCAACAGUUACUAGGUUGGAUAUGAUUUUAGGGCAAAUUAGAGUUCCGUUGAUGGAAGUUCAUUGCUUGUGUUUCUUUAGAUGGAGGUGACAAUACGAAGUAAAAUGCUAUUUCAAUGUUUUAACUGGAUUAUUGCAAAUGUGAACUUUCUGUUUUUCUUCUCUUUUCUUUUUCUCCUAUGGAAAUUGGAUAAAUAUAGGUAGCUAGCUACACAGAAUAAAAGGUUUGCGUUUCUCUGAUUAUGAGUUAGGCAACCUCGAAAUAGAAGGGUUGUUUAAUCAUUUGCAUCCAGAAAUUUCCAUCCUAAUAAUGAUGUAUAGAAGUUCUAAUUAUAUGUUUAAUUAGAGACCCUGUGAAAACAUAAUAAACGUGGAUGGUGGAUAUGCCCUAUAAGUUUCGUUUUUGUAACUUUUAAGGUUUAGGAUUGCAGUUUAUAUUUGCUUCUGGUUUCUUGAAUCUCUCUCGCCUUCAGAAUUGGAUUUUUUUGGCCCAUAAAUUUACUUACAGGAGACCAAGUUGUCACCAGGCAUAAAAAGACGAAUAACGAACCAUACUAAUCAAUGUUCUGCAGUGAUCGAUCACCCCCAAAAAAAAAAGAAGGGAUGGGCCAAUGCGAAUUGAAAGUGAGGACACGUGGCCAAGUCUAGGGUCGAGGCAAUUAAGCAAACCAGUCCAGUCCACUAACUCUAUAAAUUCUAAAUUAUAAUACAAAAGGAAACGACAUCGUAUGAAGAAGAAAACCUUCAUCUUAAAAGGCGCCUGAUCUCGCAAAUGAUAAAACCUUAACCCUCGGGCCCUCAGAGUCCCCAAACGCGAGUGAGAGCAGAUCUGAGAAAAUGAGAGAUGUGAAACACAGAGAAGGUCUGGAAACCCUAACAAUGGCAUUGUCUCUGUGAUCCGAGCCUUCGCUGUAGAUCAGAGACAUGAGCGUGAAGAAAGAGAGAGACGACGGGGCAUGAAGAAAAGCUCCUCCAAUGCGAUUCUUGUUUUGCGAGGUUUAACGCCUCGAUGACCGCCAUUGAUCCACGAUCGGAUCCGUUCAAGAGCUCACCGUUGAAAUCGCGUAGUAAUUAACACCAAGACCAGAGAUCUGAUGGGGCUAGGUACACUCCCUGUCUGCUUGCUCAAGAUGCGAUAGUGCGAUGUGGACUGAUAGAGGCACUGACAGCGGGCCUUCCAUAUCUUUAAGGUUUUACUCCUUACUCAUUCAAGCAUGUUGAUAUAUGUUUUUCUUUUGUAAAAUUUCAUUUUUUGUUUUUAAAUGGAAACAAAAUGAACAAAAAUAAGUUUCCAGAGGCAAAUAGCAUAGUAUUGUUGAAAACUUGAACGAUAUAUCUGACAAAAACAAAAUUGACACACAUUAUGGGAGCUCUUUGAAAUAGCAUAUUUUUGUUGAAUGAUGUAUUCUGAUAUGAGGGAGUGGGGGACGGUAUCUUACAUAUGGAAUCAGGAACAUUGUGACAUUACAUCAGUGAUACACGGUGGCGUGGUGAAUUUAAAAGUAAUCAUUUGUAGCAAUAUCGGAUGGUCUAAUAACCAUGCAUAACUAGACUGUUCGGCAACUUGAUGUUCUGACCAAAAGAGAACAUCGGAUGAUGGGGUUUCUCUAACUUUCAAUGUAACAUGAGUUGGAAGACAUUAGAACGUGAAAAUUCAUAAAUGGGUUAGUGCAUUAUUCAAAUAUUGUCGCACACAAUGUUCUAGUUAAUGUAAGUAAUCUGAGCUUCUGAACUUUUCAAGUUAGGAUGAGAAUGCAAGGAGUCUCAGAAGUUCUCAGUAUUUGCUUUUGCAUCUAUGCACCCAAGCAAUGUUUAUAGGUUAUUACCAUGGAAAUAAAAUUUGAAGCAGUAAAUUUCGUAGAACUAAAAUUUAUCUGCCCACAUUGUCAAAUAUAUACGGAGGAUAGAUAUGCAGUUAUAAAUUUAGAAGUCUAUUCACUCUCUCUCUCUCUCUCUCUCUCUGGUGUUCUGUUAUAUUUAGUUGUAGUUGGUACAUAUCAAUCUUAAUUUGAUAUAAUUUCUCAUUGUAGUUGUUUAUCAUUCAUAUUUUGUUAUCUAUUGACAAUACCUUUGGAUUGUGUACAAGCUGGAAGAUAUAAAACAUAUAUAAUUUCUGUUUUAAUUGUUUUCCGUGUAUUGGUAGGUAUUCUUUUUGGUAGUAAAAUGGUGUUUAAAAUGAAGUUAUGAAUGUACAAAUGUAGUAAUAGAGUAUUUUAAAAAUUUUCUUCAGGAUGUUGUGUUCUGGUUUGCGAUCUUUAACAUUCAGUGGUUAUCCCACACCAAACGUUCUUCCUAUGAGUUGCAGCAUCUUGCAUUUUAAAUAAAAGAACCUGUUGUUCUAUGUAUUUUUUGUUAUUGACAUAACAAACUGUUCUUCCUAUCA